rnacentral:rRNA from 1 species
AUACGUAGGUCCCAAGCAUUAUCCGGAAUUACUGGGCGUAAAGCGAUCGAAGGCGGUUUAUUAAGUCUGGCGUUAAAGCCCUCGGCUCAACCGAGGAAACGUGCCGGAAACUGAUAUGACUAGAGGAAUGCAGAGGCAAGUGGAAUUUCUAUUGUAGGGGUUAAAUCCGUAGAUAAUAGAAGGAACACCAAAAGCGAAGGCAGCUUGCUGGGCAUUUCCUGACGCUGCGCGAUCGAAAGCGUGGGGAGCGAAACGGAUUAGAAACCCCUGUAGUCC